rnacentral:rRNA from 1 species
CCGAUGAAUGUGUGAUCAUUAAUUGACCAGUGUGAACUGUCCAACAAAUCUUUAGGGGUCGGCACAGGUAGAAGUGGUCGUUAAAUGGUGGAUGUUCCUUCCAGCAGCCCCGCCAUUGUGUGUUACUAUGCAUAUUGAACGUAAAAGACUGAGAGAACGUAUCUUCAUGAUCACCAUGAAAGGAAAAACUUUUAAAGAAAGAGACAAACAACUUUUGACGGUGGAUCUCUUGGCUCACGUAUCGAUGAAGAACGCAGCCAGCUGCGAUAUGUAGUGUGAAUUGCAGAAUUCAGUGAAUCAUUGAAUCUUUGAACGCAAAUGGCGCUCUUGGGUUCUCCCAGGAGCAUGUCUGUCUGAGUGUCGGAUUUUAUCGAACGCACACUCACGAGUGAGUGUGCGGUAUUGAGGUGUCACGGCGUGAAGAAUCAGUGUAUUAAUGAUCGCCGUGUCCCUUGAAGAGCAGCAGCAGCAGCAGCAUUCUCUAUUGAAACUUGAGUGCGAAGGCUAAAGAUAUUGCUAUUUUCCUUCGCUGCAGGUUGGUUUAGGGUUGUUGGGUCGCUGAAAAAGAGAAAGAAACAAAUGCAAUCAAUCUUGACCUCAGAUCAGGCAAGGCUACCCGCUGAAUUUAA